CACAGCCACACACACAGGAGUGAAGGCAGCAGAGCCAAGCAGGAACCCGUCCUGCCCCAGGCCUGAGCUUUCUUAAGAGGCUCAUGGGGCAGAAAGGGUCAUUGUGCAUUUUUGUUGACUAUUGAUUCUCCCCUUCAUUCAACAACUGUACUGAGGCCAGAUCCCAAACUGAGCUCUGACGAGAUGGAGAAGCAAAGGACACGGUUCCUGCCCCCAAGGAGCUCCCAGACAAGCAGGAGAGAAGGUGGCUCCCAGACAAGCAGGAGAGAAGGCAGCUCCCAGACAAGCAGGAGAGAAGGCCGUGGAAAUGAUCCUUCUGAUACCACAGCCUGCCGAUGUCAUCUAGAACUCUGGGGGAUUGGGGGAAAACGAACAGAACCAGAUUAAAAAAAAAACCCUGUCCUUAGCUAGGUGUGGUGGUGGGCACCUGUUAUCCCAGCUACUUGGGCGGCUGAGGCAGGAGAAUCGCUUGAACCCAGGAGGUGGAGACUGCAGUGAGCCAAGACUGUGCCACUGCACUCCAGCCUGGGUGACAGAGCGAGACUCUGUCUCAAAACAAAAAAUGAAAAACAAAAAUGAAAAAGAAAAACAAAAACCAAACCCUGCCUUGUAAUUUUGACUUUUACUUUAUCCAAGUCAGGACUCCUGGUCUGAAGAAUAUUUGACCUCAUAACUAUUGGGGGACACUGGGGCUCCCUGCCCAGGGACAGGAUGUUCUCUGCAGAUAUCAGGACGUGGGUGCCGAUGACAAGGGCGCUUUGCCGCCAUGGCCCGGGGCUGGAAGCGCAGCUCUCAAAGGUUGGUUGUGAAGCUUCCAGGGGAGAUGGUCCUCUGCAGGAAGAAUAAGAGCCAUCCUGUAGCCUUCGCUGUUCCAGAAGGCUCCGUGGUGAAUACAUAAUUAGGUCCUCUGUAAUUACCAGUUUGAAUCUGCCUAGGACACUAAGGCUCCCACCCCCUAAUUUACCUUAUAAAUUUAUUCUGCUAAAAAAGUCGAAAA
rnacentral:lncRNA from 1 species